AUGCCGCUGGGUGGAUAUUCCUACUACUACUACUACUACUACUAUCUAAUGGCAGUAAAAGAACAUGACAGAGGAACUAAGAAUAGUGAUUACCUCUUCAAGCUAUUGCUUAUUGGAGACCAGGUAGUUCAUGGAUACAUCAUGGAGUUGACCAUUUUGUUUAUAGGAUGUACAAUUGAAGAAAAUACCCUACUGGAUCUGCACGAGGGCGCGGACUACCAAGUUUUCACUUUCUCGACUGGGUGCAGGGUGAUCGACGAGGACUACUGUAGCCCGAUGGGAGUCGUGCUCUUCAACUACUCAGAGGCAGACCUCACCGUGAGGCCCCGCGACCACGUCAUACAGAUUAUCGUCCAGGUGAUUGCGACGCAGGAGGUCCUCGGGGUGGAGGACCUCGACGCCACCGUCCGGAGGUUACCGAGGUGGAGGAAGACGCCACUCUCCGGAGUUCCUCAAGGUGGAGGACCUCGACGCUUUGUAAAUACAUCUAGAGAAGUGGUCUGGUUAGGUUGGUGGUGA
rnacentral:rRNA from 1 species